rnacentral:misc_RNA from 1 species
UUGACGUACUCCGGGCUGGACG